CUUGAUUUUUGUGGAACAAUUUGUGAAAGCAGGCUAAGUCCCAGUGGUUAAGCCAUGGGGAUAUGGAUGGUCUCAGUUCUCACAUUCAACUUAUUAUUAUUCUUUAAAGCUGCCUGAGAACUCUAUACUGUUCCCAUGGAAACAGAACUUUACUUCCUCCCACCGAUGACACCGCACUUGGGCUAUCAAACUGUACUUUUUUUCUUCCUCCCACCACUCUUAAGGAGACAGCUGGGAAAUCAUCUCUGCUGGAGAACUCUUCAGACUAUGCAGAGAUUCUGUCUCUAUCCUGGAUGGUAAUCAAUGAAAAAGGAAGAGAAACACUCGUACGAAGCCCUUCGCCUACAAAGUCCACAGGGAGAUGGCCUGUGAUCAACAGCGCGGAAGUGAGCUAAGAGGUCCUGAAGGAGCACAACUGUACCCUUUUCAUAGUGCAAAUUCUGAACCAGUUCAAAGAGAAGGUGUAGAAGCAAGGCAGACAGGGAUAACAACACUACCUGCAUCACUGAAAAUCCUUGGAAAUGCAAAACGGUUCAUGCCUGUGGGUCAACAGGCAGAGCCUCCAAACCAUGCCAUGCCUACAAGACCCAAUACAGGUGACAGUUCCCGAGAGAAUGGCUAAUAUGCCACCUCUGCCUCCCAAGUACUGGGGUUACAGGCAGCCAUCAGCACACCAGUUAAUAUGUUGCUAGAGAUUGGCCAAGGUCUCAUGUACAUAGGCAAGUACUAGACCAAGUAAACUACAUCCUGACACCCUGCUCGUCUGGAGACAUAUCUCACUAUGGAAC
rnacentral:lncRNA from 1 species